rnacentral:rRNA from 1 species
GGGCUUACAAGAAGUCCCGUCGCAUGCGAUCCUGGCUCUGCCGAUGGCCGCUGGGAAUUCUGGGGCUGCAGAGGCGCUGAAAACGUUUACAAUGCAGGAAACUGUGCAUAAGGGAACCUCUCUGAGAUGCCCUGUAAACUGCUGGGCAUGUCCUGGGUGUGUAAAAAGCACCCUGAAAGAAAAGGGCCUGGGCUAAGCACCUGGUGCCUAGCCUGCCUGCUGGAUAAUACCCGGCGGCACGAGUGGUGACCACUUUUAUUGGGCAUUAAAGCGUCCGUAGCAUGGAUUGUUAAGUCUUUUUGGGAAACUUCGGCAUUAACCGAUAAGGCGUCCAAGAGAGACUGAAUGAUUUUGGGACCGGAAGAGGUGAGAGGUCUCCGGGGGUAGGAGUGAAAUCCUGUAAUCUUCGGGGGACCACCUGUGGCGAAGGCGUCUACUAGGACGGCUCCGACAGUGAGGGACGAAAGCUGGGGGAGCAAACCGGAUUAGAUCCCGGGUAGUCCCAGCCGUAACGAUCGCGUAGGUGUUCGGUGACCACGAGUCACCGAGGUGCCGAAGGGAAACCGUGAAACGUGCCGCCUGGGAAGUCGGUCGCAAGGCUGAAACUUAAGGAAUUGGCGGGGGAGCACCACAACAGGUGGACCUGCGGUUUAAUUGGACUAACGCCGGGAACUCACCGGAUAAGAAGCGGAAUAUAGCCGGGCUAAGACUUUGCUUGACCAGCUUAGAGGAGGUGCAUGGCCGCCGUCAGUCUACUGUGAGCAUCUUGUU